UAUUCACAUCCUUCAGAAGAUUAGUAUUUUUUUCCUUAAAAAAAUCACUAUUUAAGAAUUUCAUUGAUAAUUCCCACUGGGAGAAAGCAUCAAGCAUCAAAAUUAUCUGGGAGAAUGAUGCCAGCAAGACGACAGCAAUGAUGCCAACAAGAAGUUAUUGCUCUACAAUAUUUACUUUACCCUGUCAGUGAAUAUGACAAAAUGAUUAAAAAAGAAAUAAGUGUGUGUCAACAAAUUCAGACUCUUCUGUGCAAGAAUUUUCUUAGAAAAUGGAGAACAA